rnacentral:rRNA from 1 species
UACGGGGGGGGCAAGCGUUGUUCGGAAUUACUGGGCGUAAAGGGCUCGUAGGCGGCCAACUAAGUCAGACGUGAAAUCCCUCGGCUUAACCGGGGAACUGCGUCUGAUACUGGAUGGCUCGAGUUUGGGAGAGGGAUGCGGAAUUCCAGGUGUAGCGGUGAAAUGCGUAGAUAUCUGGAGGAACACCGGUGGCGAAGGCGGCAUCCUGGACCAACACUGACGCUGAUGAGCGAAAGCCAGGGGAGCAAAGCGGG